rnacentral:rRNA from 1 species
UACAGAGGGUGCAAGCGUUGUUCGGAAUCAUUGGGCGUAAAGGGCGCGUAGGCGGCCUUGUAAGUCAGAUGUGAAAUCCCAGGGCUCAACCCUGGAAGUGCAUCUGAAACUGCAAGGCUAGAGUACCGAAGAGGGUGGUGGAAUUCCCAGUGUAGAGGUGAAAUUCGUAGAUAUUGGGAGGAACAUCAGUGGCGAAGGCGGCCACCUGGUCGGUAACUGACGCUGAGGCGCGAAAGCGUGGGUAGCAAACAGG